rnacentral:rRNA from 1 species
AUUGAACGCUGGCGGCAGGCCUAACACAUGCAAGUCGAGCGAGCGGCGGACGGGUGAGUAAUGUAUGGGGACUGCCCGAUAGGGGGGGAUAACUACUGGAAAAGGUUGCUAAUACCGCAUACUGUCGGAUAACCCAUAUGGGUUGAGCUAGUAGGUAAGUUAAUGGCUUACCUGGGCGACGAUCCCUAGCUGGUUUGAGAGGAUGAUCAGCCACACUGGGAUUGAGACACGGCCCAGCCUCCUACGGAGGCAGCAGUGGGGAAUAUUGCACAAUGGGCGAAAGCCUGAUGAAGCCAUGCGGCGUGUAUGAAGAAGGCCCUAGGGGUGUAAAGGACUUUGUUCAGGGAAGCGGUAACUGAAGAAUAAGCACCGGCUAACUACGUGCCAGCAGCCGCGGUAAUAC